ensembl:miRNA
AGGUUGGUGUGAAAGUAAUCGCAAUCUUUGCUGUUAAAAGUAAUGACAAAAACUGCAGUUACUUUUGCACCA